GGGGGGGGGGGGGGGGGGGGUGGGGAGGGGCAAGGCGGGCGGAGGGGCCCAAGCGUGCUUGGGUACUCGAGUGGCGAACGGGUGAGUGACACGUGGGGGAGCUGCCCUGCACUUCGGGAUGAGCCUGGGAAACUGGGUCUAAUACCGGAUAGGACGAUGGUUUGGAUGCCAUUGUGGAAAGUUGUUUCGGUGUGGGAUGAGCUCGCGGCCUAUCAGCUGGUUGGUGGGGUAAUGGCCUACCAAGGCGUCGACGGGUAGCCGGCCUGAGAGGGUGUACGGCCACAUUGGGACUGAGAUACGGCCCAGACUCCGACGGGAGGCAGCAGUGGGGAAUAUUGCACAAUGGGCGCAAGCCUGAUGCAGCGACGCCGCGUGGGGGAUGACGGCCUUCGGGUUGUAAACUCCUUUCGCUAGGGACGAAGCGUUUUUGUGACGGUACCUGGAGAAGAAGCACCGGCUAACUACGUG
rnacentral:rRNA from 1 species